GACGAACGCUGGCAGCGUGCUUAACACAUGCAAGUCGAGCGGUAAGGCCCUUUCGGGGGUACGACGAGCGGCGAACGGGUGAGUAACACGUGGGUGACCUGCCCUCAGCUCUGGGAUAAGCCUGGGAAACCGGGUCUAAUACUGGAUAUGACUCCAUGACGCAUGUUGUGGGGUGGAAAGCCUUGUGCGGCUGAGGAUGGGCCCGCGGCCUAUCAGCUUGUUGGUGGGGUGAUGGCCUACCAAGGCGACGACGGGUAGCCGGCCUGAGAGGGCGACCGGCCACACUGGGACUGAGACACGGCCCAGACUCCUACGGGAGGCAGCAGUGGGGAAUCUUGCGCAAUGGGCGAAAGCCUGACGCAGCGACGCCGCGUGAGGGAUGACGGCCUCGU
rnacentral:rRNA from 1 species